rnacentral:rRNA from 1 species
AGAGUUUGAUCAUGGCUCAGAUUGAACGCUGGCGGCAGGCCUAACACAUGCAAGUCGAACGGUAACAGAAAGCAGCUUGCUGCUUUGCUGACGAGUGGCGGACGGGUGAGUAAUGUCUGGGAAACUGCCUGAUGGAGGGGGAUAACUACUGGAAACGGUAGCUAAUACCGCAUAAUGUCGCAAGACCAAAGAGGGGGACCUUAGGGCCUCUUGCCAUCGGAUGUGCCCAGAUGGGAUUAGCUAGUAGGUGGGGUAACGGCUCACCUAGGCGACGAUCCCUAGCUGGUCUGAGAGGAUGACCAGCCACACUGGAACUGAGACACGGUCCAGACUCCUACGGGAGGCAGCAGUGGGGAAUAUUGCACAAUGGGCGCAAGCCUGAUGCAGCCAUGCCGCGUGUAUGAAGAAGGCCUUCGGGUUGUAAAGUACUUUCAGCGGGGAGGAAGGGAGUAAAGUUAAUACCUUUGCUCAUUGACGUUACCCGCAGAAGAAGCACCGGCUAACUCCGUGCCAGCAGCCGCGGUAAUACGGAGGGUGCAAGCGUUAAUCGGAAUUACUGGGCGUAAAGCGCACGCAGGCGGUUUGUUAAGUCAGAUGUGAAAUCCCCGGGCUCAACCUGGGAACUGCAUCUGAUACUGGCAAGCUUGAGUCUCGUAGAGGGGGGUAGAAUUCCAGGUGUAGCGGUGAAAUGCGUAGAGAUCUGGAGGAAUACCGGUGGCGAAGGCGGCCCCCUGGACGAAGACUGACGCUCAGGUGCGAAAGCGUGGGGAGCAAACAGGAUUAGAUACCCUGGUAGUCCACGCCGUAAACGAUGUCGACUUGGAGGUUGUGCCCUUGAGGCGUGGCUUCCGGAGCUAACGCGUUAAGUCGACCGCCUGGGGAGUACGGCCGCAAGGUUAAAACUCAAAUGAAUUGACGGGGGCCCGCACAAGCGGUGGAGCAUGUGGUUUAAUUCGAUGCAACGCGAAGAACCUUACCUGGUCUUGACAUCCACGGAAGUUUUCAGAGAUGAGAAUGUGCCUUCGGGAACCGUGAGACAGGUGCUGCAUGGCUGUCGUCAGCUCGUGUUGUGAAAUGUUGGGUUAAGUCCCGCAACGAGCGCAACCCUUAUCCUUUGUUGCCAGCGGUCCGGCCGGGAACUCAAAGGAGACUGCCAGUGAUAAACUGGAGGAAGGUGGGGAUGACGUCAAGUCAUCAUGGCCCUUACGACCAGGGCUACACACGUGCUACAAUGGCGCAUACAAAGAGAAGCGACCUCGCGAGAGCAAGCGGACCUCAUAAAGUGCGUCGUAGUCCGGAUUGGAGUCUGCAACUCGACUCCAUGAAGUCGGAAUCGCUAGUAAUCGUGGAUCAGAAUGCCACGGUGAAUACGUUCCCGGGCCUUGUACACACCGCCCGUCACACCAUGGGAGUGGGUUGCAAAAGAAGUAGGUAGCUUAACCUUCGGGAGGGCGCUUACCACUUUGUGAUUCAUGACUGGGGUGAAGUCGUAACAAGGUAACCGUAGGGGAACCUGCGGUUG